rnacentral:tRNA from 1 species
GCCGACAUAGCUCAGUUGGUAGAGCAACCGCCUUGUAAGCGGUAGGUCCCCAGUUCGAAUCCGGGUGUCGGCACCA